UACAAGUGAUUAGACAAGUAGCUCCCUUUGAACUCCUCCAGGGUGGAAACACAGCAAAGGUAUUAGGUUGAGCACUGUGAUUUAGUCACUUGUUUUU
rnacentral:SRP_RNA from 1 species